AGAACCUGGGCGACUUGGGGACCUCAAAACAUGAGAAAGGAGCCAUUUUCAUAGAAAAUGUGCGGAUUUCGAAUGUUUUAGAAUUGCGAGAGCAUAGCAUGCGGAGCAAUUCGUAGCAUCA
rnacentral:sRNA from 1 species